UUGCACGCUGGCGGCAUGCCUUACACCUGCAAGUCGAACGGUAACGGGCCUUCGGGUGCCGACGAGUGGCGAACGGGUGAGUAAUACAUCGGAACGUGCCCGAUCGUGGGGGAUAACGAGGCGAAAGCUUUGCUAAUACCGCAUACGAUCUACGGAUGAAAGCAGGGGACCGCAAGGCCUUGCGCGGACGGAGCGGCCGAUGGCAGAUUAGGUAGUUGGUGGGAUAAAAGCUUACCAAGCCGACGAUCUGUAGCUGGUCUGAGAGGAUGAUCAGCCACACUGGGACUGAGACACGGCCCAGACUCCUACGGGAGGCAGCAGUGGGGAAUUUUGGACAAUGGGCGCAAGCCUGAUCCAGCCAUGCCGCGUGCAGGAUGAAGGCCUUCGGGUUGUAAACUGCUUUUGUACGGAACGAAAAGCCUUCUUUUAAUACAGGAGGGUCAUGACGGUACCGUAAGAAUAAGCACCGGCUAACUACGUG
rnacentral:rRNA from 1 species